UACGAAGGGUGCAAACGUUGCUCGGAAUUAUUGGGCGUAAAGAGCGUGUAGGCGGCUCGGUAAGUCCGCUCUGAAAGCCCGGGGCUCAACCCCGGGAGGCGGGCGGAUACUGUCGAGCUAGAGUCCGGAAGAGGCGAGUGGAAUUCCUGGUGUAGCGGUGAAAUGCGCAGAUAUCAGGAGGAACACCAAUGGCGAAGGCAGCUCGCUGGGACGGUACUGACGCUGAGACGCGAAAGCGUGGGGAGCAAACAGG
rnacentral:rRNA from 1 species